rnacentral:rRNA from 1 species
AGAACCCCGGCGAGGGGAGUGAAAAAGAACCUGAAACCGUGUACGUACAAGCAGUGGGAGCCCCACCACUAAGCCAGUGGUGAACUCCACAUACGCAUCCUUUGCUGAGGAUACGGUUAACGGAGCGCAAGCGACGUUCAACCGCAAAAGAAGCAGAGGGGGCUUAGUGGUGGGGUGACUGCGUACCUUUUGUAUAAUGGGUCAGCGACUUAUAUUCUGUAGCAAGGUUAACCGAAUAGGGGAGCCGGAGGGAAACCGAGUCUUAAUUGGGCGUUAAGUUGCAGGGUAUAGACCCGAAACCCGGUGAUCUAGCCAUGGGCAGGUUGAAGGUUGGGUAACACUAACUGGAGGACCGAACCGACUAAUGUUGAAAAAUUAGCGGAUGACCUGUGGCUGGGGGUGAAAGGCCAAUCAAACCGGGAGAUAGCUGGUUCUCCCCGAAAGCUAUUUAGGUAGCGCCUCGUGAAUUCAUCUCCGGGGGUAGAGCACUGUUUCGGCUAGGGGGCCAUCCCGGCUUACCAACCCGAUGCAAACUGCGAAUACCGGAGAAUGUUAUCACGGGAGACACACGGCGGGUGCUAACGUCCGUCGUGAAGAGGGAAACAACCCAGACCGCCAGCUAAGGUCCCAAAGUCAUGGUUAAGUGGGAAACGAUGUGGGAAGGCCCAGACAGCCAGGAUGUUGGCUUAGAAGCAGCCAUCAUUUAAAGAAAGCGUAAUAGCUCACUGGUCGAGUCGGCCUGCGCGGAAGAUGUAACGGGGCUAAACCAUGCACCGAAGCUGCGGCAGCGACGCUGAUGCGUUGUUGGGUAGGGGAGCGUUCUGUAAGCCUGCGAAGGUGGCCUGUGAGGGUUGCUGGAGGUAUCAGAAGUGCGAAUGCUGACAUAAGUAACGAUAAAGCGGGUGAAAAGCCCGCUCGCCGGAAGACCAAGGGUUCCUGUCCAACGUUAAUCGGGGCAGGGUGAGUCGACCCCUAAGGCGAGGCCGAAAGGCGUAGUCGAUGGGAAACGGGUUAAUAUUCCCGUACUUGGUGUUACUGCGAAGGGGGGACGGAGAAGGCUAUGUUGGCCGGGCGACGGUUGUCCCGGUUUAAGCGUGUAGGUGUGUGUUCCAGGUAAAUCCGGUUCACUUUAACACUGAGGCGUGAUGACGAGGCACUACGGUGCUGAAGCAACAAAUGCCCUGCUUCCAGGAAAAGCCUCUAAGCAUCAGGUAACAUCAAAUCGUACCCCAAACCGACACAGGUGGUCAGGUAGAGAAUACCAAGGCGCUUGAGAGAACUCGGGUGAAGGAACUAGGCAAAAUGGUGCCGUAACUUCGGGAGAAGGCACGCUGACACGUAGGUGAAGUGAUUUACUCAUGGAGCUGAAGUCAGUCGAAGAUACCAGCUGGCUGCAACUGUUUAUUAAAAACACAGCACUGUGCAAACACGAAAGUGGACGUAUACGGUGUGACGCCUGCCCGGUGCCGGAAGGUUAAUUGAUGGGGUCAGCGCAAGCGAAGCUCCUGAUCGAAGCCCCGGUAAACGGCGGCCGUAACUAUAACGGUCCUAAGGUAGCGAAAUUCCUUGUCGGGUAAGUUCCGACCUGCACGAAUGGCGUAAUGAUGGCCAGGCUGUCUCCACCCGAGACUCAGUGAAAUUGAACUCGCUGUGAAGAUGCAGUGUACCCGCGGCAAGACGGAAAGACCCCGUGAACCUUUACUAUAGCUUGACACUGAACAUUGAGCCUUGAUGUGUAGGAUAGGUGGGAGGCUUUGAAGUGUGGACGCCAGUCUGCAUGGAGCCGACCUUGAAAUACCACCCUUUAAUGUUUGAUGUUCUAACGUGGACCCGUGAUCCGGGUUGCGGACAGUGUCUGGUGGGUAGUUUGACUGGGGCGGUCUCCUCCUAAAGAGUAACGGAGGAGCACGAAGGUUGGCUAAUCCUGGUCGGACAUCAGGAGGUUAGUGCAAUGGCAUAAGCCAGCUUGACUGCGAGCGUGACGGCGCGAGCAGGUGCGAAAGCAGGUCAUAGUGAUCCGGUGGUUCUGAAUGGAAGGGCCAUCGCUCAACGGAUAAAAGGUACUCCGGGGAUAACAGGCUGAUACCGCCCAAGAGUUCAUAUCGACGGCGGUGUUUGGCACCUCGAUGUCGGCUCAUCACAUCCUGGGGCUGAAGUAGGUCCCAAGGGUAUGGCUGUUCGCCAUUUAAAGUGGUACGCGAGCUGGGUUUAGAACGUCGUGAGACAGUUCGGUCCCUAUCUGCCGUGGGCGCUGGAGAACUGAGGGGGGCUGCUCCUAGUACGAGAGGACCGGAGUGGACGCAUCACUGGUGUUCGGGUUGUCAUGCCAAUGGCACUGCCCGGUAGCUAAAUGCGGAAGAGAUAAGUGCUGAAAGCAUCUAAGCACGAAACUUGCCCCGA